rnacentral:rRNA from 1 species
GGGCCCGCACAAGCAGCGGAGCGUGUGGUUUAAUUCGAUGCGACACGAAGAACCUUACCUGGGUUUGACAUGUACGUAGUAGUGAACCGAAAGGGGAACGAGCCCUCGGGCAGCGUACACAGGUGCUGCAUGGCUGUCGUCAGCUCGUGCCGUGAGGUGUUGGGUUAAGUCCCGCAACGAGCGCAACCCUUGCCGCUAGUUACAAGUGUCUAGCGGGACUGCCGGUAUCAAGCCGGAGGAAGGUGGGGAUGACGUCAAGUCAGCAUGGCCUUUAUAUCCAGGGCUACACACACGCUACAAUGGCCGGUACAAUGGGUUGCUAAGCCGCGAGGUGGAGCUAAUCCUCCAAAGCCGGUCUCAGUUCAGAUUGGAGGCUGCAACUCGCCUCCAUGAAGUCGGAGUUGCUAGUAACCGCAGGUCAGCUAUACUGCGGUGAAUACGUUCCCGGGCCUU